GGAUGCAAAAGUCGUAACACGGUUUCCGUAGGUGAACCUGCGAAAGGAUCAUUCACACAUUGCGUCUCAAAGCUGCUUUCGCGAUCACGCGGUACUGCGUCGCAAUCUGCAAUUUUGGUUGCUAUUGUGGGGCAUAUUGUUUGUGAUUCGUUUGGGAGUUUGCUGCGAGGAAGCGCUCAUUAUAAUCAUAUAUUCCCAAUCAUUGAAUCUUUUAUUUCCCCACAACGUAUUUUUGAAUUGAUUGAAAAGCUUAAGAAGCAACUCUCUGAAUGCAUGGGGAGGAUUUGUUCUUCUGAUGAGGAGGGUCCGACUCAAGCAUGAGGGGGGUUGAGUCGUGGCUAGCUGCUAGCUACGGGGAGUCAAGGGUUUUGGGGCUGUUUGGGGCUUUUGGGGCUGGAUUUUUUCUAGCACCGGCCCGGCGUCUCAUUUACCUUUCCUUGUAGUUAGGGAGUCGCGUCUCUAUAGAAUUUUGUUAAAUUUAAUAAAACUUUUAGCAAUGGAUGUCUUGGCUCACGCAUCGAUGAAGGACGCAGCGAAAUGCGAUACGCAUUGUGAAUUGCAGAUUUUAGUGAACCAUCAGAUUUCUGAACGCAUAUGGCGCUGUUGGGACUACCCAACAGCACGUCUGUUUCAGUGUCUUUUGACUCCUUCAAAAAUUAUACUACCAAAGUAUCUUAUACAUUUGCACAACACUGUUGUGUUUUGUGAGUAGGGUGCUUCUGGUGGUGUCGUCUGGGCGUCGAUGGUAGUGUAUAUCAGCGUCGCGUGAAAUUCCUUAUAUAUUUCAACAAUAGUUGUUGGCUAUAUAAGCAGUCGUUUUGCGUUAUCCUUUCGUUAACGAAAGAGAUACGGUGGUUUAUCAUGACUCACUAAUAUCUCGUACAUGGGUAGCGCUGUAUCGGUUGCUGCUGACAAUACAUAUCUUUAGACCUGAAAUCAGUCGAGGUUACCCGCUGAAUUUAAGCAUAUUAUUAAGCGGAGGA
rnacentral:rRNA from 1 species